rnacentral:rRNA from 1 species
GAUGAACGCUGGCGGCGUGCCUAAUACAUGCAAGUCGAGCGAAUGGAUUGAGAGCUUGCUCUUAUGAAGUUAGCGGCGGACGGGUGAGUAACACGUGGGUAACCUGCCCAUAAGACUGGGAUAACUCCGGGAAACCGGGGCUAAUACCGGAUAACAUUUUGAACCGCAUGGUUCGAAAUUGAAAGGCGGCUUCGGCUGUCACUUAUGGAUGGACCCGCGUCGCAUUAGCUAGUUGGUGAGGUAACGGCUCACCAAGGCAAAGACGCGUAGCCGACCUGAAAGGGUGCUCGGCCACACUGGGACUGAGACACGGCCCAGACUCCUACGGGAGGCAGCAGUAGGGAAUCUUCCGCAAUGGACGAAAGUCUGACGGAGCAACGCCGCGUGAGUGAUGAAGGCUUUCGGGUCGUAAAACUCUGUUGUUAGGGAAGAACAAGUGCUAGUUGAAUAAGCUGGCACCUUGACGGUACCUAGCCAGAAAGCCACGGCUAACUACGUGCCAGCCGCCGCAGUAA